rnacentral:rRNA from 1 species
GGCUACAGAACUAACGCUGGCGGCGCGUCUUUAAACAUGCAAGUCGAACGGUAGUCCUUGAGCUUGCUUAGGGAUGAGAGUGGCGAACGGGUGAGUAACACGUGGAUAAUCUGCCUCCGGGUUGGGGAUAACUGUCCGAAAGGAUAGCUAAUCCGAAUGAGAUGGCGGUUACAUAAGUAGCAGCCAUUAAAGUGGGGACCGCAAGGCCUACUGCCUGGAGAUGAGUCCGCGGCUGAUUAGCUAGUUGGUGGGGUAACGGCCUACCAAGGCGACGAUCAGUAGCCGGCCUGAGAGGGUGAACGGCCACAUUGGGACUGAGAUACGGCCCAGACUCCUACGGGAGGCAGCAGUUAAGAAUCUUGCACAAUGGGCGCAAGCCUGAUGCAGCGACGCCGCGUGAAUGAUGAAGGCCUUCGGGUUGUAAAGUUCAGUAAGCAGGGAAGAAUAAGCAAGGGGUAAUAUUUCUUGUGAUGACGGUACCUGCCUAAAGCCCCGGCUAACUACGUG